rnacentral:rRNA from 1 species
UGCUUGCACAAGAUGACGACCGGCGCACGGGUGCGCACCGCGUAUGGAACCUACCCAGUACAGGGGAAUAGCCCAGGGAAACUUGGAUUAAUGCCCCGUAGUACCAAUUUGCAGCAUUGCUUAUUGGUUAAAGCCUUCGGGCGGUAUUGGAUGGCCAUGCGUCCCAUUAGCUUGAUGGUAAGGUAACGGCUUACCAUGGCUACGAUGGGUAGGGGCCCUGAGAGGGGGAUCCCCCACACUGGUACUGAGACACGGACCAGACUCCUACGGGAGGCAGCAGUGAGGAAUAUUGGACAAUGGGCGGGAGCCUGAUCCAGCCAUGCCGCGUGCAGGAAGACGGCCCUAUGGGUCUUAAACUGCUUUUAUACGGGAAGAAAAAAGGGCACGUGUGCCCUACUGACGGUACCGUAAGAAUAAGGACCGGCUAACUCCGUGCCAGCAGCCGCGGUAAUACGGAGGGUCCGAGCGUUAUCCGGAAUUAUUGGGUUUAAAGGGUCCGUAGGCGGGCCAUUAAGUCAGUGGUGAAAGUUUGCAGCUCAACUGUAAAAUUGCCUUUGAUACUGAUGGUCUUGAGUUAUGGUGAAGUUGCCGGAAUAUGUAGUGUAGCGGUAAAUGCAUAGAUAUUACAUAGAACACCGAUUGCGAAGGCAGGUGACUAACCAUAUACUGACGCUGAUGGACGAAAGCGUGGGGAGCGAACAGGAUUAGAUACCCUGGUAGUCCACGCCGUAAACGAUGGAUACUAGCUGUCCGCUGCCUUGAGUCUUGGGCGGCCAAGCGAAAGUGAUAAGUAUCCCACCUGGGGAGUACGUUCGCAAGAAUGAAACUCAAAGGAAUUGACGGGGGCCCGCACAAGCGGUGGAGCAUGUGGUUUAAUUCGAUGAUACGCGAGGAACCUUACCAGGGCUUAAAUGUAGAUUGACAGGUUUAGAGAUAGACUUUUCUUCGGACAAUUUACAAGGUGCUGCAUGGUUGUCGUCAGCUCGUGCCGUGAGGUGUCAGGUUAAGUCCUAUAACGAGCGCAACCCCUGUUGUUAGUUGCCAGCGAGUCAUGUCGGGAACUCUAACAAGACUGCCAGUGCAAACUGUGAGGAAGGUGGGGAUGACGUCAAAUCAUCACGGCCCUUACGUCCUGGGCCACACACGUGCUACAAUGGCCGGUACAGAGAGCAGCCACUACGUGAGUAGGAGCGAAUCUUCAAAACCGGUCUCAGUUCGGAUCGGAGUCUGCAACUCGACUCCGUGAGGCUGGAAUCGCUAGUAAUCGCAUAUCAGCCAUGAUGCGGUGAAUA